AUUUAUAGCCAUACCACCCUGAAUGUGCCCAAUCUCGUCUGAUCUUGGAAGCCAAGCAGGGUUGGGGCUGGUUAGUGCUUGGAGGGGAAACUGCCAGGAAUACCAGGUGCUGUAGGUU
ensembl:rRNA 5S_rRNA 5S ribosomal RNA